UGCGGGCCUUCGGGAGGCAGCGAGGGUGGCAUGCUUCUGGUAGCUGUUUGUUCCCACAGUAGUCUCAGCUCUGCUUUUGUACCCAGCAUCCAUUUUUGGGGGAACAGGUCUUAUCUAGAGAGGAAAUAGCCACGGUUUUGGGGGAAGCGGUUUAGCAUUUAGAAGGGUGCCGCCCUGCCACGGAGAUCCGUGUCUUGCAGUUCUCCGAGGACGUCCAAAUAUGAAGACGGUGCUUGCGCUCCUAAAACGGAGAAGGGCUCCUUGAGAAUCGGAGGUCAUAGGCAACAUGGAGGAGUGGAACAUGUUAGCUUCAUGAGGGAAAGAAAUUUUUGCUCUCUGUCUCUUCCUAGUCUCAGGGUUGCUGUCUUGUUUCUGAGCGAUGCUGUGGUAGCUGCUGGAAACUCCUGAUAUUGGCCAGGAUCCCAUAGAUACUGCACAGACGUAGACCAAAGACUGACUUCUCUCACGGGACACUAUGAAUAUACACUGCACCAGCCUGGAUUGCUUCCUCUCAGGAACCCAGCUUCCUAAAGAGGCUUUGGUUUAUUCUAUCUACAGAGCUGUCCGCAGUUCCAUGGAAGGACUACUGCCCUUGAGUAAUGCCUGGGCUUCUGGCCAAACUAAAUGCUAGAGUGUUUGCUGUGACUUCAGAUUUGCUGGUUAAGCUUAAUUUCCAAUUGACAGAUAAUUUCAAAACACCAUAAAGAUAUGUUCUUUGCAGGCUUCCAGCAGAUUAACUGAGGGAGAGGGGGUGUUAGAAAGUGCAUCCAACUUUUGCAGUCAGCAGUAUUGCGUGAUAAAUGUCACCAUAACCUAGAGAGAAGUAAGAUAAUGAAAUGCAUUAAUUUCCUACAACAAUUAAGUGCUACCAUGGCCUGGAGAGGGCUCAGAGCCAGCUGGUAAAAGUUACAGUAAAAAGUGGUGGGCAGGAAAAAUAACUAGAAAGAGCAUGAAAUGCAGAUAUAUGCUUUGCUAGUAUGUCCAGUCCUGGAUCACCAUGGAUUUUUGAUUAUCAGUCCAAUCUUGAACCUAUUUCUAUUGAUAUUUUUACUGCCUUCAAAGGGGGUAUCUUCAAACGCUAAGUGCAGGGGGCUAAGAGAAGACAGAAGCAAAAUAGAAAAAGAAAAAAAAAAGACCCCAGAUCUCAGUUUUGGUCUGAUAACCUUGCUGAUAUCUAUAGGAUAUGGGAAACAAAAUGGUAGUGCCAAGGAAUGCAUCUAACUAAUUGCUCUUGGCCCAUUCUGCACAGUUAAAUAAACGAUGUGUCAUACAUCACUUUCCCUCCCACAUACAGCCAAACGGAUAACUUCUUUUACAACUGCAAUUAUAUAACAUCCCGAUGCAAUGAUACAAAGUGAAAAUAGUGCCUCUGGUGCACCUUUUUGAUGAUCUAAUUUGAAGCCUGCUGAUGUGUAAAGAAAAUGUAACAUCAUGGCUUUCCUCUUCAGCUUUUUCCCCCCUGAAAUGGGUUGCAGUUUGAUUGCUUUUGUGCCCAGUUCCUGGAAUUCCUCACUAUCAGCUGUGAAUUCCUUCUUGAAAUAAACUCAUUCUGUCACCAGUCAAAAAUAUUUUCUCUAAUCUUUUUUCGUAAUAAAUUCAGCACUGGUGAUUAGAGUCAAACUGGCAAAAGCAUCCCCAUUUAUAUUCAAUCCAGCAAGAGCAGCAUCUGUGAAAAGUACUCCAUAUUACUUCCUCAAAAUACAUGGCCCUGCAUUUGGAAGUCUGAUGACAAGGUAAUUUUCUGCCUGUUACUUUAGACUUUUGCUGAGAAUAAGAGCAAAACGGUGGCCACAAGAUUGGUGGUUUUUUGAUUCCUGUCUCUGGUAGUUCAGAAGAAAUGAACUGGCUUGUGACUCUGGAAUAACUGCAGUUGACAGUAUUAUAGGAUCUUUGUUCAGGCUAUUUUCUCCUU